rnacentral:miRNA from 1 species
ACCAGCCGGCAAUAUGGCUAUCAGCCGGGCGUGUCUGUAGUAUACUAUAGUAUACUACAGACACGCCCGGCUGAUAGCCGUAUUGCGGCUGGUAGCC